UGUCAUUGUAGUGAUCCAUGCCCCAAACUCCAGUGCAAACAGGACAUAGUGCUGUGAGCCCUGCUGUGGCCAAAAGCACUGUGAGGCAUCAGCAGAAAUAGCUCACUUGUGGUCGGGGUGACUAGGCAAGUUUUCCUGGGGAGGUGGCAAGAGAGGAGUGGGCAUUCCACGUCAAACGGCGUGAGCAAAGGGGAAAAGAUGUGGAUGUGGAAGAGGAGGUGAGUUGAAAAGUUUCACAGGAAUUAUUUUUUAAGCACUUUCUAGGGACUGUGAACUUCAUGUAACUUUUUUCCAUUCAAUCCUUAUUUAAAGUGUAGCUUGCCCAACCGGGCAUGGUGGCACAUGCCUGUAAUCCCAGUGGCUUGGGAGGCUGAGGCAGAAGGAUGUCGAGUUCAAAGCCAGCCUCAGCAACUGAGUGAGGCCCUAAGCAACUCAGCAAGACCCUGUCUCUAAAUAAAAUAUGAAAAAGGGCUGGGGAUGUGGCUCAGUGGUUAAAUGCCCCUGGGUUCAAUCUCUGCUACCAAAAAGAAAAUACAUAUAUAUAUUUUAUAUAUAUAUAUAUAUAUAUAGCUUGCUUUAUAGAUGGAUACUUAUGAGUGAGAAAAAUACAGGCUUGGAGAGACUAGGUAGUGUGUCCAAAGUUGGUAAAACUAGAUUUGAUCUUAGAUCUGUCUCAACAUAUUAUUCCAUCCAUUCAUUCUUUAAUUGCUUAUUUAUUUAUAUUGACCUUUUCUAUAUUAUAAUUCAUCACAAAAGAAAUAAAGCUCAUUGUAAAAAAUCUUCAAGGUAAAAAGUUUAAAAGUGUGC
rnacentral:lncRNA from 1 species